UGCCAGCCGCCGCGGUAAUACGGAGGGGGCUAGCGUUGUCCGGAAUUACUGGGCGUAAAGCGCGCGUAGGCGGAUGUUUAAGUUUCAUGUGAAAGCCCUGGGCUCAACCUAGGAACUGCAUCUGAAACUGCCGGUCUGGAGUGCCGGAGAGGGAAGUGGAAUUGGUGGUGUAGAGGUGAAAUUCGUAGAUAUCACUAGGAACACCAGUGGCGAAGGCGGCUUCCUGGACGGUGACUGACGCUGAGACGCGAAAGCGUGGGGAGCAAACAGGAUUAGAUA
rnacentral:rRNA from 1 species